rnacentral:rRNA from 1 species
GGCGCGGUAGUCGGGGGGGGGGGGGGGGGGGCCGGAAGCACUGGGCGGAAAGGGCGCGGGGGCGGCCUGGUAAGGUUGUGGUGAAAGGCCGGGGCUCAACCGCGGUGCUGCCGUGGGAACUGCUGGGCUGGAGCACAGUAGAGGCGGGUGGAAUUCCGGGUGUAGCGGUGGAAUGCGUAGAGAUCCGGAAGAACACCGGUGGCGAAGGCGGCCCGCUGGGCUGUGACUCUUCGGAGUCUUCAAGCUGACGCUGAGGCGCGACAGCGUGGGGAGCAAACAGGAUUAGAUACCCCAGUAGUC